CUUGCCUGUGGGCCUGUGACCAGUUAUGCUGACUCUUUUUCCAUAACACCUUUGUUUGCUGUCAUCUUGGCCUUAAUCCCACCAGAACCUCAGGAGCUCAAGAUUUAUGGUUGUCUUACUAGCAGAACUACUCUUCCUCCCCAGUAAAGCUUCAAGAAUGAAAUGAAGGGCAUAUUGUGAAUAAGAUCUUUCAGUUGAGGAAUGUACAGUGGAAAGAAAAUAAAUAUAAUUUCUCAGUUGUGAGAACUGGUGAGAUUAGGAGAGAAACAGAUGAGAAACAAGCUGUGGCUACAUGCAGGAGAAGUCAGCCUUCUUGUGCACUGUGCACAGGCCAGCUGGCAGGACAGGAAUUAGAUGCUGACUAUUCAUCAAAAGUUUUUACAACAGAACUCUGUCAAUGGACAGUAAUGAGCUUGAGGGAUUCAGAGCAGUGUGUUACUGCCCAUCUUCAAAAAUGGCCAAAACAUCUCUGUAAGUGCCCCAGCAUCAUCAACUGAUGGCAGCACAGCUCUGGGAAUAAACAGACUUUACCUAAUGGCAGGAAUCGACAGGGAAAACAUGAAACAGAGAAAGCAAUACCAGGAUAACAGCACUGUCAUUUCCAAGAUGUGGACACUGCCUCCUGCAACAGAAUAGCAGCAGCAGGGCUGGUUUCAGCGGAUCACUGCAUUUGAAGGUAUAUUUUGAUAGAAUAUCAAAUAUAUUUUGAUAAAACCAAAGUCAAACCUUUUCAAAAUCACUACCCUCCCUUCUUUUUUUUUUUUUCCUCUUGCAACUUUUUUUUUUUUUUUUUUUAAACUUUAGGCUGGAUUUAAAAAUAGGUUGGUUAUAUCCGAAUAUUAAAAAAUAUAUAGCUUGUUCUCUAAAUAAUAGAAAUAAAAUACAUUCUAGAUUUCGACAGCCCUCCAUCUUCGGCAAACAGAUAAAAAAGUUAUUCAUGGCUACUGGCAGUUUCUGUGCUACCUCUCUGCUCGGCUAUUUGGCAGACAAAACCAGCUGCAGCCCUCUGACUCUCCGCCACAGACCCAUGCUUUCACCUCAGGAAAGUCCAUCCACAUACACUGCUGCCUCAUUCUUGAAAUUUAGAGUCUUUUAGCUUUUGUAAAUUGUUAUCAGCAAGUAUUAUGGUAAUGUCUAUUUUUUAGAAUUUUAAGAUAACAUUGCUUUGCUGAUUGUUCCAAUAUCCCCUAACAAUGAAAUAUAGUAAUACAAAAGUUAACUAAGGUAUAAACAUGCAAAAGGAGAAGUCUCCCUGCGAUCAUAAAAUGAUGUUAUUUUCUGUUCAGCAGUUCAUGUUACUGCUGUUCAUGCUAAUUAAUUAAAGGAGCUGUUGCUGUAAUGUGCAAACAGGGAAUCUGAGAAACUGAGAGGGCUUUUAGGUCUCGGAGUGAAGUUAAGUCAAUCUGGGCGCGGGCAAUCAAAUGUAAUGAAAUCACUUGUCAGUGCUAAGCUUGCAAAAACUGUGAAGUUUGACUAGGGAGUAAAAGGAUUAUAAUUAGAUUUCCAAUAGGAUAAUAACUAAAUGGCAGAAAGCAGUAAAGAGAAAAUAUUACUUUGUUAGCUAAUGGUGCUGCUGUUCGGUUUUAGUUUUUAUCAGCACACUUGUAGUUGUACUAAUUUAAUUUGCUUUUAUCAGCAAAAAUGCACUACUCGAAUGGUACUUGAAUGUCAUUUGCAAAAAACAUUGAUCUGAAGGUGCACUUAAUGACACCCAGUAUGUUUAUUUUAUGUGAAACGGAGAUUGCUUGAUAAAAUGGUUGAUGCAGUAUCUUCCUGGCCCAAGAGUGAGUUAUGGAAGCAAGAGCAGAAGGUAUCAGCACAUGCAUUGCCUGCUCCUGCACCACUCAGCUAUGCAGGGGCUGUCAGACUACAGCAACUAUUUCUUUUCUAUUUGUCAGCUAACAGGCCCCUCACAGAUUGAGCUGUGCUGGACCAGAAGCUCAGGGGUAUGGAGGACAGAGCUACAGACUGUAAAGUUUGAAAAACUUUUAGUCUUGUCAGCACAAAAUUUCAGUUCAAUUAAUACACAGAGCAUAGGGAAAAUGAGUCUACUAAACGGAAGAGAUUUAUAACGCAUAUCAGAAUCUCAGAAAAUGAACAGCUUGUGUUAAUAAAAUCAUUUUAAGAAAUGAGCAUAAAAUAUGAUAUGACUUAAUCACUGUGCAGUAUUUUUGCAAUUUUCCUUUAAACCACCUUAAGGAGAUACUGGCAGUGAAACUAAUUGAAUUUCAAAGGAAAGGCACUGUGUGAAUGAUAGAUUUCUGUCCAGCAGAGUUAUUGACAACAAAAAAAGAAAGGUCUGCAUUGACACUGAGGCUUUUUUCUGUGCACUAGAGAGAGAUUCUGGAUGCUUGGAAGCAGCUUUGUAUUAGAGACGUGUGUUUUGACCCUUCCUUCUCCCAGGGCCCAAAAAACAAAGGCUGUAAAUGAAGGGGGCAGUGGAGGCAGUGUACUCAAACUGUUAAGACUGCAGUGCAAGAGUUGCUGUCAAGUUUCAGAAACUGUAAAUCAAAAGAAAACAGAAUAAAAAGAUAUUACAGUAUCAGCAUAAAUAAAAAUGGAGGAGAUGAUGCUAAGGAACAGAAAUACUCUGAAACCUAGACUAGCUCUAUAGAGAGAUCUUAAAAAGCUUUUCUAUCAGCUGAGAGUGCUUAGUGAAAGAACUGGAUAAACUCAUCACACAUUUACAUAUCAACAGGAUUACCAAACUGAAAGUGUCAGAGAAUCCCAUAUAUGCUGCCAUUCAUGGCUGUGGUGAAGACAAGAAAUGACAUAUUCUGCUUUCACAGCGGGGUACCAAAUGCAGAGAUAUUGAACAUAAUCAGUGAGUGUCCAGGUCUCCCUUGGUUCAGGUUUUUGACAUGAAAAAAAGCUUUGUAACCCAAAGCCUUUUAAAACUGAGAUUUAAGGGGAAAAAAAAAUCAAAACAAACAAACAAACAAACAAAACAAAAAACCUCUCUGAAAUUAAAAUCCUAAGAUCACAGGGCAUUCUUCUUUAUCAGUAAUACUCAAGAAGUGAAAAUAAAUUCUGAGUCCUUCUGUAAGUAAAUGGGGCUAUUACAAGUGGCUAUGCAACACCCUUCUCACAGUUACUUACACUCUUUUUUAAUAGAAGACAGAUUUGAGCCAACUGUAACCUUUUUCUUUCUUUAAAAAUGACAAUUAACUUCCUUUUUAUUCCAGUAGAUUCAACCCAGGUACACCUUGGACUCACAGAAUCUUUUUGGGAGAGCACUGAGCGCUUAUCUCAGCAGAUACUGUAAAUAGCACUAGGAAACAGUAGGAAUCAUUUGCAUUUCAAAUUACAAUACAUGUCCUGAGUGCUUAUCCAAUAUUUUGACUAUUUCUGGCAGUAACAAUUUUCAAACUGCAAUACUUAGUGCACAACUCCAAUCAUAUGUGUACAUAUACAUGACUAUAAAUAUGUUGUAUUAUAUAUGUAUAUAUGUAAUUCUCCUUUUUUGUUAUGUGUAGCAUAUGAACCUAAAAUCACAAAAAGCGACAGCAGUAAAAAUAUUUGAAAGCUUUCCUGUAUAGAUGACAGAUGGACAACAGAUGCGUACCAGAGGUAUGCAAAGUCAAGCCUUUAACAGUUGACAAAUGCUAAAGGUUAUGUUUCUAUCUCUAUCUGCACUGGUUCUAGCAGUACCUAAGAUAGAAUUCUCUAUCAGAUAUUCUCGUAAUACCCUCUGGUAUGUGCACAUCUAUUUAAAUGCAUACUAAACAUUUCUUUUAAGCCUUCUGGAACUUUUGUCUUGCUAAAUUUGCCAUCUUGUGAUUUCCAUCAUCUACUGUUUAUGUACUUUUUGAAAACAUGUAUGAUCUUGAAAGGAAAGCAAGGAUCGGAAGUGAAAUAUUUUAAAAAGAUAAAUCAUUUGUAAGAUCAUUUUUGGACUAAGCCUGUAUAUCUGAGUAUGAUAAGUAUCUAAGUAUGAGUGUUUCCCACACCUCUGUUUAAACAAAUACAAUUACUGAUCUUGUAAAGUAGCAAUCUUGCUAUACUUCUUUUCUGUAUUGAGCAGGAAGACAAAAUGAAGUUCCAUAAUUUACAUUUAUCUUAAUACAGGAAAACAAGAGGUGCAAAAAACUAUGUAUUUCAUUUUUUAAUAUGGCUUGUGAUAAACGUGUAUGUAAUAGAAGGAGGUACAUA